CGCCCAUGUCCACGAAUUUCUCAAUGAUCCUGAGAAAACAAAUAUCGGAAGCUCACAUUUCCUUUCUUUUUUAUUAUUAUUCUAAGUAAAGAAUUUAAACCUAACAACUAAAGAGAAAGACUUCUUGAAUAUUCUNNNNACCAAUUGAUGAGAACCACAACCAAACUACUGAACUGUGAUCAAGAAGCAUGAAAUAAUGC
rnacentral:misc_RNA from 1 species